rnacentral:rRNA from 1 species
UACGUAGGGUGCGAGCGUUAAUCGGAAUUACUGGGCGUAAAGCGUGCGCAGGCGGUCUGUUAAGACCGAUGUGAAAUCCCCGGGCUUAACCUGGGAACUGCAUUGGUGACUGGCAGGCUUUGAGUGUGGCAGAGGGAGGUAGAAUUCCACGUGUAGCAGUGAAAUGCGUAGAGAUGUGGAGGAGUACCGAUGGCGAAGGCAGCCUCCUGGGCCAACACUGACGCUCAUGCACGAAAGCGUGGGUAGCAAACAGG